AGCAGCCGCGGUAAUUCCAGCUCCAAUAGCGUAUAUUAAAGUUGUUGCAGUUAAAAAGCUCGUAGUUGAAUUUCGGGGUCAGUAGGUUGGUCGUGCCACCGGUACGUACUGGUCUCACUGAUUCCUCCUUCCUGAAGAACCGUAAUGCCAUUAAUUUGGUGUUGCGGGGAAUCUGGACUGUUACUUUGAAAAAAUUAGAGUGUUUAAAGCAGGCUAACGCUUGAAUACAUUAGCAUGGAAUAAUGAAAUAGGACGUUCGAUCCUAUUUUGUUGGUUUCUAGGAUUGACGUAAUGAUUAAUAGGGAUAGUUGGGGGCAUUAGUAUUCAAUUGUCAGAGGUGAAAUUCUUGGAUUUAUGAAGACUAACUACUGCGAAAGCAUUUGCCAAGGAUGUUUUCAUUAAUCAAGAACGAAAGUUAGGGGAUCGAAGACGAUCAGAUACCGUCGUAGUCUUAACCAUAAACUAUGCCGACUAGGGAUCGGAUGAUGUUAAUUUUAUAAUGACUCAUUCGGCGCCUUAC
rnacentral:rRNA from 1 species